CGCGUAGGCGGCCUGCUAAGUCGAACGUGAAAUCCCCGAGCUCAACUCGGGAACUGCGUCCGAUACUGGUUGGCUUGAAUCCGGGAGAGGGAUGCGGAAUUCCAGGUGUAGCGGUGAAAUGCGUAGAUAUCUGGAGGAACACCGGUGGCGAAGGCGGCAUCCUGGACCGGCAUUGACGCUGAGGCGCGAAAGCCAGGGGAGCAAACG
rnacentral:rRNA from 1 species